rnacentral:rRNA from 1 species
GACAGAGGGUGCAACCGUUGUUCGGAAUUACUGGGCGUAAAGCGCGUGUAGGCUGCUCGGAAAGUCGGAUGUGAAAGCCCUGGGCUCAACCUAGGAAGUGCAUCCGAAACUUCUGAGCUGGAGUGCUGGAGAGGAAGGCGGAAUUCUCGGUGUAGAGGUGAAAUUCGUAGAUAUCGAGAGGAACACCGGUGGCGAAGGCGGCCUUCUGGACAGUAACUGACGCUGAGACGCGAAAGCGUGGGGAGCAAACAGG